rnacentral:rRNA from 1 species
CACGGGAAGCUUGCUUCCUGGUGGCGAGCGGCGGACGGGUGAGUAAUGCAUAGGAAUCUGCCCGGUAGUGGGGGAUAACCUGGGGAAACCCAGGCUAAUACCGCAUACGCCCUACGGGGGAAAGCAGGGGCUCUUCGGACCUUGCGCUAUCGGAUGAGCCUAUGUCGGAUUAGCUGGUUGGUGAGGUAAUGGCUCACCAAGGCGACGAUCCGUAGCUGGUCUGAGAGGAUGAUCAGCCACAUCGGGACUGAGACACGGCCCGAACUCCUACGGGAGGCAGCAGUGGGGAAUAUUGGACAAUGGGCGCAAGCCUGAUCCAGCCAUGCCGCGUGUGUGAAGAAGGCCCUCGGGUUGUAAAGCACUUUCAGUGGGGAAGAACGCCUGGUGGUUAAUACCCGCCAGGAAGGACAUCACCCACAGAAGAAGCACCGGCUAACUCCGUGCCAGCAGCCGCGGUAAUACGGAGGGUGCGAGCGUUAAUCGGAAUUACUGGGCGUAAAGCGCGCGUAGGUGGCUUGAUAAGCCGGUUGUGAAAGCCCCGAGGCUCAACCUGGGAACGGCAUCCGGAACUGUCAGGCUAGAGUGCAGGAGAGGAAGGGUAGAAUUUCCCGGUGUAGCGGUGAAAUGCGUAGAGAUCGGGGAGGAAUACCAGUGGGCGAAGGGCGGGCCUUCUGGACUGACACUGACACUGAGGUGCGAAAGCGUGGGUAGCAAACAGGAUUAGAUACCCUGGUAGUCCACGCCGGUAAACGAUGUCGACUA